AAACAACUUUCGAAACAAUGAAAGGUGGCAAAAGAAAGACACAGAGCCAGAGCAGGAACUGUAACGCCACCAUCGACUAACUUCUCUCUUAUCUGAAGGUAGAACAUACUAUCAUCCUUUUCACUAAGCAUCAGUGUUUGGUUCAGAGAAAACGAAGGAAAAUGCGAAAAAAAACUUGCUUUUAAAAGCGACUAGGACUCAUGUCGGAGGAGUUUUGAGCAUGAGCUACCACUCAUGCAGCGGCAAGGACCCGCUACUCUCGAUGAUGAUCCAUAAUGGUUCCAGCAUCAUCUUUGCUCCACAUUUUCACAAGUCCUAAUCUUCUAAUUGAAGCCCCUUCUUAUGAUCUUUCUAUUGCCUAUAUUGAAGUAGGUGAGCUAUUUGUAGUUAUUGUGAAAUGAUUCAAGCACAGUUUCUUCUUGUCGAGGCUAUGCUCAUAUAAUUG